AGAGGUAUGGCUCAGUGGUAGAGCAUAUAUACUUAGCAUGCAUGAGGUCCCGGGUUCAGUCCCCAGUACCUCCU
rnacentral:tRNA from 1 species